GCAUUGGUGGUUCAGUGGUAGAAUUCUCGCCUGCCACGUGGGAGGCCUGGGUUCAAUUCCCAGCCAGUUCUGCU